AGAGUUUGAUCCUGGCUCAGGACGAACGCUGGCGGCGUGCCUAACACAUGCAAGUCGAGCGGAGACAUAUUGAGAAGCGGAAGUUUUCGGAUGGAAGCGGAUUGGUAUGUUUUAGCGGCGGACGGGUGAGUAACGCGUGAGCAACCUUUCCUUCACAGGGGGAUAACACAGCGAAAGUUGUACUAAUACCGCAUAAGACCACGGGGAGACAUCUUACUGAGGUCAAAGGAGCAAUCCGGUGAGGGGUGGGCUCGCGUCCGAUUAGAUAGUUGGUGAGGUAACGGCCCACCAAGUCAACGAUCGGUAGCCGACCUGAGAGGGUGAUCGGCCACAUUGGGACUGAGACACGGCCCAAACUCCUACGGGAGGCAGCAGUGGGGAAUAUUGCACAAUGGGGGAAACCCUGAUGCAGCGAUGCCGCGUGGAGGAAGAAGGUUUUCGGAUUGUAAACUCCUGUCUUAAAGGACGAUAAUGACGGUACUUUAGGAGGAAGCUCCGGCUAACUACGUGCCAGCAGCCGCGGUAAUACGUAGGGAGCGAGCGUUGUCCGGAAUUACUGGGUGUAAAGGGAGCGUAGGCGGGAUCGCAAGUCAGAUGUGAAAUACAUGGGCUUAACCCAUGGGCUGCAUUUGAAACUGUGGUUCUUGAGUGAAGUAGAGGUAAGCGGAAUUCCUGGUGUAGCGGUGAGAUGCGUAGAUAUCAGGAGGAACACCGGUGGCGAAGGCGGGCUUGCUGGGCUUUUUGCUGGCGUGGAGGCUCGAAAGCGUGGGGAGCAAACAGGAUUAGAUACCCUGGUAGUCCACGCUGUAAACGAUGAUUGCUAGGUGUGGGGGGACUGACCCCUUCCGUGCCGCAGUUAACACAAUAAGUAAUCCACCUGGGGAGUACGGCCGCAAGGUUGAAACUCAAAGGAAUUGACGGGGGCCCGCACAAGCAGUGGAGUAUGUGGUUUAAUUCGAAGCAACGCGAAGAACCUUACCAGGUCUUGACAUCGUAUGCAUAACAUAGAGAUAUGUGAAACCUCUUCGGACGGGAGAGACAGGUGGUGCAUGGUUGUCGUCAGCUCGUGUCGUGAGAUGUUGGGUUAAGUCCCGCAACGAGCGCAACCCUUGUCGUCAGUUACUAACAUUCAGUUGAGGACUCUGAUGAGACUGCCGGGGAGAACUCGGAGGAAGGUGGGGAUGACGUCAAAUCAUCAUGCCCCUUAUGUUCUGGGCUACACACGUGCUACAAUGGCCGGUACAGAGAGCCGCAAAACCGCGAGGUGGAGCAAAACUCAAAAACCGGUCCCAGUUCGGACUGCAGGCUGCAACUCGCCUGCACGAAGUCGGAGUUGCUAGUAAUCGCGGAUCAGAAUGCCGCGGUGAAUGCGUUCCCGGGCCUUGCACACACCGCCCGUCA
rnacentral:rRNA from 1 species